GAUGAAGAACGCAGCGAAAUGCGAUAAGUAAUGUGAAUUGCAGAAUUCAGUGAAUCAUCGAAUCUUUGAACGCACCUUGCGCCCUUUGGCUAUUCCGAAGGGCAUGCCUGUUUGAGUAUCAUGAACACCUCAACCCUCAUGGUUUGCCAUGACGGGCUUGGACUUUGGGGGUCUUGCUGGAUUGUAGUCAGCUCCCCUUAAACAAAUCAGCUUGCCAGUGUUUGGUGGCAUCACAGGUGUGAUAACUAUCUACGCUUGUGGUUUUACAUCAGAUAACCUUCAGUGAUGGAGGUUCACCGGAGCUCAUAAAGGUGUCUCUCCUCUGUGAGGACAGCUCUUUGAAUGUUUGAUCUCAAAUGAGGCAGGACUACCCGCUGAACUUAAGCAUAUCAAUAAGCGGAGGA
rnacentral:misc_RNA from 1 species